UGACGAGAUCACAUCGUUUGCACA
rnacentral:miRNA from 1 species